CCGUAUAUUCCUGUCAGCCAACACUUCAGGUUACCAGAUCACAAUCUGAAAGAUUUUGAUCACAUGAAGAUCCUUGUGAUCGAACAGGAUUGUACAUGGCAAAAUAGGCAAAGAGAGAAUCGGGAGAAGUUUUGGAUAAAAACACUGGGUGUCCUCCAUCCAGAUGGAAUCAAUAGAAAGAAAUAAUUAAAUUUACAGUCUAAUGUUUAUAUUAUGAUAUUCAGGAUUUAUCUUUAUGUAGGAAUAUAUCGAACAACCUUCUAACUAGCGUACCUGAUGCUGUCUUUCGGAACAAUGUGGAGUUGAAAUAUUUGGAUAUAUCGAACAACAUUCUAACUAGCGUACCUGAUGCUGUUUUUCGGAACAAUGUGGAGUUGACAUAUUUGAAGUUAUCGAACAAUAAUCUAACUAGCGUACCUGAUGAUGCUUUCAUGAACAACGUGGCAUUGGC